rnacentral:lncRNA from 10 species
AGGAGAUGCCCCGGGUCUAUUUUUCCCUAAGAUCCCUCUUUAGCUUGGGCGAGUUUGAGUGGGGUUUGGUCCCUGAGCCAGGAGGGUCUUGGUAGGACGGAGAGAGCAGGGAGCACUGAAGACCACGUGAGGGCCUUGCUGCUCUGCAAGGGGCUGUCUGUGCUAGAAGGUCUGGCCCAGGCUGCCUCACUGUCAUACCACACUCUCCCUCCUGGCUAGAACCAAGCUCGAGGCUCACUCCCUCCAGGAAGUCUUCCCAGAUUACCCCAGGCCAUUUUCCAAGUUGAUGUUGCAUCUCUAAAGCAGCUGGUAGUAAGAGCGGUGAUGAGAGUGAUAACAAAUAGCUCUUAUGUGCGGAGCACAUUGGAAGCCAGGCUCCAUGCCAGGACUUCAGGUGCCUGAUCUCAGUGAGUCUUUGAACCACCCCAUGAGACAGGCAGGGGGCUGUAAUGACAACACCUGCUUUACAGGUACGGGCGUGGAGGUGAGACAUUGGGUAACUUGGGCUCAGUCUGGAGCUGGUGAGUACAGACAAGCGUCACACACAGUCUACACAGCCGGAGCACCUCAUGGCUAUUUUCUACGUGGUUUUGCUGAAUUCCUGCAUCCACCCAUUUGCCUAUGAGGGCAGGAGGUAAAUGAAGAUCCGAGGCAGGAGGAGUCAGACAGGGGAGAGGUGACGGGCCUCCUGGGUCCCCGUUCAUCGAGGCUCGCGCAGUACGCACCCACUUUGCCGCGAUGAUGAGGAUGGCUGUGCCGAUGGGGCCCGAGUACACCCCGUAGCCCCAUCGGUCAUGGUAGAUCCGCACAGCAAUGGUCAGGACGCCGAACAUCACAAAUGUUGACCUCUUGGGUUCGUCGAAGUCGGCCAGUGCUGGAGGGGCCAGGGAGACACAGGGGGAGCCAGCGAGACCCUGAGGCCCAGCCUGGUCAUGGAGGGGUCUGAAUUCCAGCCAGUUUGAGAGGACAGGCAGCCUGCUGCUUCCCCAUGGACACAGCAGCUUGGAUUGUGCUCCCAGCACCUCAUUUUAAUAAACAGACCACAGCUGGUUGUGGUGGCUCAGGUCUGCAAUCCCAGUGCUUUGGGAGGCAGAGGCAGGAGGAUCGUCUGAGACCAGGAGUUCAAGACUAGCCUGGGCAACAUAGCGGGACCCCCAUCUCCACAAAAAAUUCGGUGGGUGUCGUGGUGCAUGCCUGUCAUCCCAGCUACUUGGGAGGCUGAGGUGGGAGGAUGGCUUGAGGCUGUGAGUUCGAGGCUGCAGUGAGCCGUGUUUGUGCCACUGUACUCUGGCCUGAGUGACAGAGUGAGACCCUGUGGCUAAAAAUCAAUAAUCACUAUGCAAAGUGAAUAGGAUCGAAUCUAUCCCAUAGGAUCACAGGACAAAGACACUAAGAUUCAAGAGAAGAAAUGAAGCCCCUCACAGGCCCGGUUAGAUGGCAAGGAGCCUCAGGUCAUGGGGACCUUGCCACAGACAACAGUUACGUGGAAAAAAACAUGGUGGGAAAGGGGGCUUAUGAACAGUCCCGUCUUCCAGGCUGGAUAUCACCCGUGUGUGUGGAUGUUUGUAUGACAGUCUGGGAAGCCAACCCCCCUGAGCAGUGAACAGCGGUCCUCCCAGGGAAGGAGUGACGGGAGGGAGCCCUUUCACUUUUUCCUUUGUAUGCCUCUGCUGUUGAAAUGUGUC